rnacentral:lncRNA from 1 species
GAAGCCUUAAAUGUGAUUUACCCCGGUUACUAACUGAAAGCGGCUCUUCGUUAGUGGUCGUCGCUCGAACGAAUCAAAUAAUUUCUGCGCUUCGUCUUUCACGCCGGAGGGAAAGCCGCCGAUUGACACUACUUCUUACUUUUUUUUCCUUCUGACCCGUUCUCUAGGAGCUAGACUCAAUGGCUUACAGAUACAAGGCGGGG